GCUUCGGCCUGGCGGCGAGUGGCGAACGGGUGAGUAAGACAUCGGAACGUGCCCAGUAGUGGGGGAUAGCUCGGCGAAAGCCGGAUUAAUACCGCAUACGACCUGAGGGUGAAAGCGGGGGAUCUUCGGACCUCGCGCUAUUGGAGCGGCCGAUGGCAGAUUAGCUAGUUGGUGGGGUAAGGGCCUACCAAGGCGACGAUCUGUAGCUGGUCUGAGAGGACGACCAGCCACACUGGGACUGAGACACGGCCCAGACUCCUACGGGAGGCAGCAGUGGGGAAUUUUGGACAAUGGGCGAAAGCCUGAUCCAGCAAUGCCGCGUGUGUGGUGAAGGCCUUCGGGUUGUAAAGCACUUUUGGCGGGAACGAAAAGGGCCGUGCUAAUACCAUGGUUCGAUGACGGUACCCGCAGAAUAAGCACCGGCUAACUACGUGC
rnacentral:rRNA from 1 species